rnacentral:rRNA from 1 species
AUGUGGACAAAGAGACUUCGUAAUCAAGGCAUUUGCCAAGCUAAAAAAUCACAACUGCACUUGAACUUCUACGAAGAGGGGCUUUGUUUUGCACUGCAGUGCAACAAUCAUUAUGUGCACACAACACAAGAAGCACAAGCCAUGGAGGCAAAAAGAAACGAGAGAGGCAUCACCCUCGCCCGCCACACGACGCCCGACUCCUACCACCUCCCCAAGGACAUCUUCACCAAGGCAAUUGGGCGUGUUCGUCUACAACUAGUCCACGACAACAUCACCCCGACCCUCAAGGGUGUCACUGGUUGUCCGCAACACGACCAUCACAAAAAGCAAAAAAGACGAAGACCAUUACCUUGA